GUUGAUUAUUUUUGCCUUUGAAUGUGUAAAUGGUAUUAAUUUAGAAAAUUGUUCUAACCAAAUUGUCCUACAGUAGUUUGUGUUAAGAAUAUGUGAGGGGAUGUGCUCUAUGUCAAUCUGACCACUCCUACAUGCAGACCUGUAAGAUUAUCACUGUUUAAUGCAGGUUAAGCCUCUGAACAUGGUUGAAGCCUGCCACCUUUCUGUUUGUCCACACAAAGAUAAAAAGGCUUUAAUUUGUGCAGACAAAUAAUGUUAAUGUUAUUGGUCAGUUUCCGGUGUCUGUCUGUGUGCUCAUUGUUGGUGCUAAAAUAAAACUGCACUUUUAUGACAUCAUAUUGAACUCCUGCACCUGUAGCAUUGCGUGUUGUGAGAGGAGUGGAACAUGAGUUUGCAUGUCAAUUUGUUCAGCAGUAGAUUGUGUAUGUGUGUGUAUAUUGUAGUGUCUCAGUCUCACUUUCUUGCUGCAUUCUGCAUCAAUUGAUAUUAAAACAUUGGUAGAUUUUCAUUCAUCACUCAAUUACUAGCAAACUCCUUAAUUAUCCUUCCAUUCUGACUGCCAUUAAUUACAGCUGAAAUAACCAUCUUUACAAACUUGAAUUUAUGUUAGUCCAGACGUCUUAUCAAGCUCAGAGACAAUUUUGGAAAAAUACUAGUACAAGGGAUCAUAAGCAAACCUCUAUCUCUGUAUUAUACAGGUCAUGGAAAACUAAAAGCAGCAGAAAAAGAAAACAAUUGUGAUGUGAUUAUUUUCAGGCAUUGUAUAUACAAGCAUUUAAGCUGGAGAAUGAAAGUGAAUUGAAAAUUUAAGUCCAAAAUCAAUAGAACUGUAAUACAAUAAAUUGCGGUUGGAGUAAAGUGCAUUUGGAGCUUAGCUUGUAAGUGUGAUGUGUGUUGUUCUUUUACAGAGGACAAACACUUGGACUGAUUGGAUUUGGAAAUAAAUUAUCUGCUACCAAGGGAACAUCUUUGAUUUGCUUACACACACAAAGAAGCCUUAAUAAGAGACAAUUUUCCUGUGCCAUGGAUUUUUAUUUUUUGCAAUGCCAAAAAAGGGGUCUCAAACAUCUGUUAUAACCUUCUAUUGUUUUCCCCCAAAAUGUGCAAUUAGAAUAAUGUUGCAAAAUUUGACUAUAUCUUGUAGACAUUUGUUUACUUAGCACACUACAUACAAAUGAGUAUGUUAGCCAAUCAUGGCAGUGGGUGGUUACAUUGACGUCUUAAAGGUAAAGGACACAAAAACCGAUCGUUUCAGUCAGAGGGUCAGGGAAAGGGUGGAAAAAAGUCAUAAAUUACACAAUUUAGUAUGCUUUUUGUGCAAAAAACCCUUACUAAUAUUAUAAUUACACCUCGGGGGAGAUAAUAAAAUAAAAUAUAGAAACAUGCCAUAACCCCUUUAAACUCAUGUAACAAAGUUCUUAUUUUUAAAAUCUAACCCAAAAUAAUAUCUCGUUAAAAAAAAAAAAAAAAAAAAAAAAAAAAACUACACUUUUUUGGUAGCAGAAAUGCAGUCAUUAAGCAUGGGAAGAUAGAAUUGCCCAUGCCCAUGAGUUAUAACACAGUUAUAUGAUUCUGUAAAAAAAAAAAAAUUGUAAAAAUGCAUGAAAAUUUGGCCUGUAGCAUAUUUCCAAUGUCUAUAUAUCUCUGUCUAGCACACCUGUGCAAAGUAAGUUCAAUUUGAUGUGUGUAUAAGCAUAUACUGUAUUUGUGUGUCCUGAACAAUGGUCUCAAGCUCCUGGGGAUAAGUGCACUGUUGUUAAAUGCACUGUCAUCCUGUUUCUGUGAACUUCCCUGCACCUCCUGCCUCAGAUUUUUACUUCUACUCUCAGAGAGGAAGCACAUGUCCUCUUUAUCUAUGUAUGAGCUCCGUUAGACCACAAGCGAACCAUACGCAAUCUACUUGGUGCUAGUGUAGCUCAUCACAGUAUAGCCCCGUACAGCACUGGAACAUCUUUCAGGCCUGAUAAGCCUGACAGAGAAGUGCAAACAUCAUUACUUUACAACAUUAAAUGAUGAGGUGGUGUUUGAACUUUUAAUAAAGGCAUCUGCAAAG
ensembl:lncRNA